ACAUAUAUAUAUAUAUAUAUAUAUUUAGAAUUACUCAGACUUAUUAAAUAAAACUACGCGUUUUGCGUAUGCAUGUAUGACGUAAAUAGGAGAAAUAUAUAUAUACACAUAUGCCUAUAUUUAUUUAUUUAUUGAUUUUUUUUUUUUUUUUUUUCCUCGUUUUAUUUUAUUUUAUUUUAUUUAUUUCUUUUGUUUAAUUUAUUUGUUUACCCAUUUGUUUGUCCGUUUGUUUAUCUGAUUGUUCGAUUAUUAUUAUUUUCGCCAUUUCAUUUUAUUUUGUUUAUGUCAAAACAUUACCAAGUUAAUCGUUGAACAAACUACUUGGAUCAAUUUUUUAAUUUAUAAUCUAAUAAAAAAGUCUUCUUUUUAUUUUUUUAUUUUUUUUAUUUUUGCGUAAAAAUUGGAUCAAUAUGAAUUGUUUAUCAGCCUAUAAGUUUUUUUGUUUCUUCAUUUUUUUAUUUUAUAAUACAAUGGACACUUCUUGUUUAAGCAAAGUUGAACACAAUGGUAGUACAUUAACAAUGAAUGACAACAUACCAUACAAAUUAAACAAUAUGACAAGCCAAUUAAUAAAUGUAAUUAAAAAAAAAUCUAACCAUGUUAGAAUGUUGUACAACGCACUAAAUGGAAAUAAUAAGGAACUUCCUCUGUAUAUUUUUGUAAAAGAUGAAAAUGAAAAAAAACGACAAAUUCUUAAGGAUUUAUAUUUAACGGGGAAGCUACAUUUUCUCCAGGGACAUAAUAACCCCUUGUCGAAAUAUUAUCUAGCUGUAAAAAAUAGACACGUAGCUACUAGUAUAUUACUAGAUGAAAAAUUAAAGAAAGAGCGUGAUUUUAUAAAUAACCUGACUGAAGAAGAUAAAAUUAACUACGUAAAAGGAAAACUCACAAAAUACGAGAAUCUUAGAAUAAAUGCUCAACAGAUAUACUCAAAGCUAGAAAAAAAGCUAAACUCAUUAGAAGAAAUUAUAGCGAUUUUAAAAAAAUAAAACCAAAACAAUAAAAAAAAUUAAGUUAACCCA
rnacentral:lncRNA from 1 species